rnacentral:misc_RNA from 1 species
AACGCAUAUUGCGCUCUUUGGUAUUCCGAAGAGCAUGCUUGUUUGAGUAUCAGUAAACACCUCAAAUCUUUUUUUUUUUUUUUUAAAAAAAAAGUUUUGGACUUGAGCAAUCCCAACACCAAUCUUUUUUAGAUCGGUGGCGGGUUGCUUGAAAUGCAGGUGCAGCUGGACAUUCUCCUGAGCUAAAAGCAUAUUUAUUUAGUCCCGUCAAACGGAUUAUUACUUUUGCUGCAGCUAAUAUAAAGGGAGUUUGACCGUAUUGGCUGACUGAUGCAGGAUUUCACAAGGGUCGGCAACGAUUCUUGUAAAACUCGAUCUCAAAUCAAGUAAGACUACCCGCUGAACUUAA